rnacentral:rRNA from 1 species
GGAAAGGCGCGCGAUACAGGGUGACAGCCCCGUACACAAAAAUGCACAUGCUGUGAGCUCGAUGAGUAGGGCGGGACACGUGGUAUCCUGUCUGAAUAUGGGGGGACCAUCCUCCAAGGCUAAAUACUCCUGACUGACCGAUAGUGAACCAGUACCGUGAGGGAAAGGCGAAAAGAACCCCGGCGAGGGGAGUGAAAAAGAACCUGAAACCGUGUACGUACAAGCAGUGGGAGCACGCUUAGGCGUGUGACUGCGUACCUUUUGUAUAAUGGGUCAGCGACUUAUAUUCUGUAGCAAGGUUAACCGAAUAGGGGAGCCGAAGGGAAACCGAGUCUUAACUGGGCGUUAAGUUGCAGGGUAUAGACCCGAAACCCGGUGAUCUAGCCAUGGGCAGGUUGAAGGUUGGGUAACACUAACUGGAGGACCGAACCGACUAAUGUUGAAAAAUUAGCGGAUGACU